GCACACGUAGCUCAGUCGGAUAGAGCGAAGCUCUCCUAAAGCUUAGGCCGGGGGUUCAAUUCCUCUCGUGUGCACCA
rnacentral:tRNA from 2 species